UACAGCCAUAUCAUGUUGAAACACCAGUUCUCUUACAAUCACCAAAGUUAAGCAAUGUUGAGCCUGGUCAGUGCCUAGAUGGGUGACUAAUUGGGAAUAUCAGGUUCUGUAAG